rnacentral:rRNA from 1 species
AAUCAACGCUGGCGGCGUGCCUCAGACAUGCAAGUCGAACGAUUAAGACUUCCUUCGGGAAGUGCAUAAAGUGGCGCACGGGUGAGUAACACGUAAGUAAUCUACCCUCGAGUGGGGAAUAACGUUCGGAAACGGACGCUAAUACCGCAUAACGCAGCGGCACCGCAAGGUGACAGUUGUUAAAGGAGUAAUUCGCUUGAGGAGGAGCUUGCGGCAGAUUAGCUUGUUGGUAAGGAACGGCUUACCAAGGCUACGAUCUGUAUCCGGUCUAAGAGGACGGUCGGACACACUGACACUGAAUAACGGGUCAGACUCCUACGGGAGGCAGCAGUCGGGAAUUUUGGGCAAUGGGCGAAAGCCUGACCCAGCAACGCCGCGUGAAGGAUGAAG